rnacentral:rRNA from 1 species
GUUUCGUUAGGCGGUUUGUCGCGUCUGCUGUGAAAUCCCGAGGCUCAACCUCGGGCCUGCAGUGGGUACGGGCAGACUAGAGUGCGGUAGGGGAGAUUGGAAUUCCUGGUGUAGCGGUGGAAUGCGCAGAUAUCAGGAGGAACACCGAUGGCGAAGGCAGAUCUCUGGGCCGUAACUGACGCUGAGGAGCGAAAGGGUGGGGAGCAAACAGGCUUAGAUACCCUGGUAGUCCACCCCGUAAACGUUGGGAACUAGUUGUGGGGACCAUUCCACGGUUUCCGUGACGCAGCUAACGCAUUAAGUUCCCCGCCUGGGGAGUACGGCCGCAAGGCUAAAACUCAAAGGAAUUGACGGGGACCCGCACAAGCGGCGGAGCAUGCGGAUUAAUUCGAUGCAACGCGAAGAACCUUACCAAGGCUUGACAUACACCAGAACACCGUAGAAAUACGGGACUCUUUGGACACUGGUGAACAGGUGGUGCAUGGUUGUCGUCAGCUCGUGUCGUGAGAUGUUGGGUUAAGUCCCGCAACGAGCGCAACCCUCGUUCUAUGUUGCCAGCACGUAAUGGUGGGAACUCAUGGGAUACUGCCGGGGUCAACUCGGAGGAAGGUGGGGAUGACGUCAAAUCAUCAUGCCCCUUAUGUCUUGGGCUUCACGCAUGCUACAAUGGCCGGUACAAAGGGCUGCAAUACCGUGAGGUGGAGCGAAUCCCAAAAAGCCGGUCCCAGUUCGGAUUGAGGUCUGCAACUCGACCUCAUGAAGUCGGAGUCGCUAGUAAUCGCAGAUCAGCAACGCUGCGGUGAAUACGUUCCCGGGUCUUGUACACACCGCCCGUCAAGUCAUGAAAGUCGGUAACACCUGAAGCCGGUGGCCUAACCCUUGUGGAGGGAGCCGUCGAAGUGGGAUCGGUAAUUAGACUAAGUCUCGGGGGGGUGCGUCUCGUCUUAUUUUGGGCGGCCCUUUUUUUUGGACAUCACCCUCUUCCUUUUCUCUGCCGAUAAGAG